rnacentral:lncRNA from 1 species
CAAAUGGAUGUUUCUCCAGUAAUCCUCCCCUCCUGGGUAAAUAGUUAGCCUGGAAGCCUCCCCAUCUGCAUACCUGUGACCCCAGGUGACGAUGUUGUGAUUUAAGUUCCAUCAGGACCUCAAAUCUCUUUGUAAGUGGCAUAUUGCGUACUUCAAGGAAAAAUAUCUGAACCCCAUGAUUUAACAACAGAGAGAAAGGAAAAAUCUUCAGGAGGUAACAAUGUAUCAAGUCCACUCUUCUUCCCAGCUGAAAGAAUGAUUGUAACCCUGAAAAUGGCCAGAAUGCCUAGGCUUGCAAAGAAGGAUUUUCCAAGAGUCCCUGACAACUUUUAUCACUUUAUCUUACUAAUUGGGAAAAAAGUGAAUGCUGUACUCUUCCAAGUAUAGAAAUCCUUGCAUUUGACCAGAAUCCACAGUAGGUUAAAGAUGGAAGCUGGUGUUUUCUAGCAGGUUAGCGCCAUUAAAAUAACAACAAUCAA